rnacentral:lncRNA from 1 species
UGUUGGGAUUUUUAUGGAUAAUUACAUUACACAGGCUCUCAUAAUGUCAGAUGUAAUAUAAUAAAUAGGCUGUUCACUUUGGUGUUCCCUAUAGUCAGCUAGAGCUAUCUGGAAGACAACUCCUCAUUUUUCUGGUUUGUGUGAAAAUUAUGUCUUAUUUUUCGGGAGCUCUUUACUUAGCAGAACACCACACAGCCCAGCAGUUGCUCGUCACAGCUGUAAUUAGAUUAUAUCAAACCAGCAGUGUUGAAACACUGGUGCCUGCAUUGCCUUGCUCAGCUGUAACUCCUGAGCUCUUCCAAAGCACUGAGCUGGCCGCAGUGAUGAGGAUGACAACAGUGAUAUGUGGCAGGUGAGGGUAGGUCCUACCCUGGGAGGUGUUAAAAACACUGCCCCUUUCAUUCCCAACCUGCCCUUUGUUGUUGGAGGUACUCUGCACGUUGAAGAGGGCAUUCAGGAUCUGGUCAAGGUGGGAAGACAGCACAGUCCAAGUGUUGACCUAACCUCCCCACAUAGCCCUGCAAGGAGAAAAGGGUCUGUACCCUACAGAGGUUUGUGCUGCCUUGACCCAGGGUGGGGUGGUGCUGGUGCUAACAGGAGACCAGGAUAGCAAGCCAAGAUGCUAUUGUUGGUCUUCUUCUGUAGCAGUAUACCUAUGUAGUCUCUUCUAUGUAGGCCUGUCCAGAUUAAACCAGGCUUUACUCCAUUAUGAAGUCUCAAGAAAAUCAAGAGCAAAUGAAGAUACAGUGGAAAAUGAAACGCUACUAGGACCACUGCUCAGGGAGUCUGACAAAAAAAAAAAAAACGACAAAAAGGUAAGCUAUUUUUCUGUUCUUAACUAACAGCUUUCUGAAUUAUUUUUUAUCUGGAGGAAUGUGUAGCACUUCCUACAGACAGGUUUAAAUAGCAAGUCAUGCUUUCCCAG